rnacentral:rRNA from 1 species
AGUGAACGCUGGCGGUAGGCCUAACACAUGCAAGUCGAACGGCAGCACAGUAAGAGCUUGCUCUUACGGGUGGCGAGUGGCGGACGGGUGAGGAAUACAUCGGAAUCUACUUUUUCGUGGGGGAUAACGUAGGGAAACUUACGCUAAUACCGCAUACGACCUACGGGUGAAAGCAGGGGAUCUUCGGACCUUGCGCGAUUGAAUGAGCCGAUGUCGGAUUAGCUAGUUGGCGGGGUAAAGGCCCACCAAGGCGACGAUCCGUAGCUGGUCUGAGAGGAUGAACACCCACCGUGGAAGUGAGACACGGUCCACGCUCCUGGGAGGGGCAAGAGGGGGAAAUUUGAGAAAAGGGGCGAAAGCGUUACCCCCCCACCCCGGGGGGGAAAAAAAGGCUUUGGUUUUGAAAACCCUUUUUUUGGGAAAAAAAAAGGCACAGUUACAUCCCCCGGUGUUGAGGCGGUCCCAAAAAAAAAAACCCGCGCAAAUUGCG